rnacentral:rRNA from 1 species
CACGUAGGGCGCAAGCGUUGUCCGGAAUUCUUGGGCGUAAAGAGCUCGUAGGCGGUCUGUUGCGUCUGCUGUGAAAACUCGGGGCUUAACCCCGAGCCUGCAGUGGAUACGGGCAGACUAGAGGUAGGUAGGGGAGAAUGGAAUUCCCGGUGUAGCGGUGAAAUGCGCAGAUAUCGGGAGGAACACCGGUGGCGAAGGCGGUUCUCUGGGCCUUACCUGACGCUGAGGAGCGAAAGCGUGGGGAGCGAACAGG